CAUGUGUUUCAGUUUGUUGUUGACUGUGCCAGGUUGUCUAGUUUACCUCCUGUGACGUUUGUCCUCGGGGGGACAGAGUACACGCUGACCGCCGAGCAAUACGUUAGAAAGGAGAUGCUUGGCAACAAGGAGUUUUGUUUCAGUGGCUUCCAGGCCGUGAACAUCUUUUCCGCCCAGGGCCCCCUGUGGAUUCUGGGAGAUGUAUUUCUUACGGAGUUUUACAGCGUCUUUGACAGAGGACAGGACCGUGUUGGCUUCGCUUCUGCUAGGCACCCAACCCAACCCUAACCAAUCAGUAGCUGACAAUUAUAUAUCAUCAAUAAAUACUGCUCAAUUAAAAUGA